rnacentral:rRNA from 1 species
AACGAACGCUGGCGGCAUGCCUAACACAUGCAAGUCGAACGAGACCUUCGGGUCUAGUGGCGCACGGGGGCGUAACGCGGGGGAACCUGCCCUUAGGUUCGGAAUAACUCCCCGAAAGGGGUGCUAAUACCGGAUAAUGUCUUCGGACCAAAGAUUUAUCGCCUUUGGAUGGGCCCGCGUUGGAUUAGCUAGUUGGUAGGGUAAAAGCCUACCAAGGCGACGAUCCAUAGCUGGUCUGAGAGGAUGAUCAGCCACACUGGGACUGAGACACGGCCCAGACUCCUACGGGAGGCAGCAGUGGGGAAUAUUGGACAAUGGGCGGAAGCCUGAUCCAGCAAUGCCGCGUGAGUGAUGAAGGCCUUAGGGUUGUAAAGCUCUUUUACCCGGGAUGAUAAUGACAGUACCGGGAGAAUAAGCUCCGGCUAACUCCGUG